GCAAUGAGGAAGGAUUAAGGUUCUUUGUCAUUGGCAAAGCUAAGAGGGAAACUGGUGCGAAAGAAUUUUCAAAGCCAGUGCUGCCCCCGCAACUGUAAACGGCGAGCAAAGAUCAAAAUGCCACUGAUAUUAUUAUCGGGAAGGCUGAUCGGACGCGGUGACCCGUCAAGUCAGGAGACCUGCCUUAAACCAAGUCAUCCAC
rnacentral:ncRNA from 11 species